rnacentral:rRNA from 1 species
GAUGAACGCUAGCUACAGGCUUAACACAUGCAAGUCGAGGGGUAGCAGGGUAGCAAUACCGCUGACGACCGGCGCACGGGUGAGUAACACGUAUCCAACCUUCCCAUAACUCGGGGAUAGCCUUUCGAAAGAAAGAUUAAUACCCGAUAGUACUUUUUCAAGGCAUCUUGAGAAAGUUAAAGAUUUAUUGGUUAUGGAUGGGGAUGCGUUCCAUUAAAUAGUUGGUGAGGUAACGGCUCAGCAAGUCUUCGAUGGAUAGGGGUUCUGAGAGGAAGGUCCCCCACAUUGGUACUGAGACACGGACCAAACUCCUACGGGAGGCAGCAGUGAGGAAUAUUGGUCAAUGGGCGAGAGCCUGAACCAGCCAAGUAGCGUGAAGGAUGAAGGUCCUAUGGAUUGUAAACUUCUUUUAUAGUAGAAUAAAGUGGCCUACGUGUAGGUUUUUGUAUGUAUACUAUGAAUAAGGAUCGGCUAACUCCGUGCCAGCAGCCGCAGUAA